UUGGCGCCUAUAUUUUUUUAAAUUCCUCUUUUUCAACUGAAAAGGUUGCUGUAUCCAGAGUAUAGAAUGCUAAUAGCUGCAAUCUUCAGCCGCCAGAGUACAGCACUAGCACAAAUUGUAAACCGUAGAGUAAUUUAUACAUACUAUGCCUUAAACAGUUGACAAGUUUUCACAGAUAAUAAAAUAUGACAUUGAUGCAUCAAGGAGGUUUGUUUUCAAAGUCCCACCGCGAAACGCGAAAAUCGAAAUGUUGUUAUCAGCCUCUUUAUCGCUCGAAUACGCACGAGUGAUAGAGAGGUAGAUAACGUAAUUUCGAUUUUCUUGUUUCGCAGUAGGCCCUCACAUUGUGUUAGUGUAGAGUUUUGCGUAAAAUUCCCUUGGAAAUUCCCGCGCAAAAUAUUAUUUCAUAUGUUAAUAAUGUAUUUAACCAUAUUAUACUACUCUUUGAUUUAUUACCUGUAUUAAGCCAGGAAAUUUUGACAACACGUCAAACUCAGUCAAACUAUUUUUUAUAUAUUUUUUUAUUAUUUACAUUUGCCUUUGCCAUGCUGAUUUGUAGCAGGAAUUGUUAGCUUAGAAUUAUGUAUUUAAUGGCCAUUAUAUCUUGUAAACUCAAUUUAAAUGGCACUUUACACCAUUCUUUUUGGAGUGAGCAUAUUUUUGAUAGCUUUGGUGUGGGCAAUAAUAAAGAAAAUGUUCUUUCACUGGAAAGAGGAGCACAAGAUCGAAACAAUGAUGAUGCCAACUUACAUGGAACAUCCCACGGUCAGCGUUAUAAUAAUAUGCGAUAAAUGUGUAAUCCGUCGCCGAAAGUUUGCCGAAAAUCUGUCCGUCUUCGACAUUAUCAGUAAAAGCGAUGUGAGCCUGACCAAGGAAGACGAUCCUGAUGCACCGCCAUCGCUGGCUUCCGACACACUUGAGACGCGCCCGUUACAAACUAUAGAACCAGUGGCACAAAAGUCAGCAAAACCUUAAGAUCAUCCGAGGUACAUUAAAUAUAUUUAAAAGUAAAGAUCGGCCCGUUCAUAUAAUUCCGACAGGACAUUCUCGUUUCUGCCUCGGUGGAAUGCUAAGGCCCGCGUCUUUACGAAGGAAUACUUCUAAGUCAAUGAUCAAAACGUCAGCCAACGCACGCUCCAGUUGCAUUCUUUGUGGAGCAAAUUUCGACUUCAGAGGACGACGUGUUGCGUCCCUGUCACACUUAGGUACAUAUUUACAAGUGCGACAUCGAAGCAACACGUCAAAUGUGGUGAGGCCCUCUGCACAUCCUCUUGUUUUGUUUACCUAAUAAUAUUAAUAUUGUGUUCAGUUUAUUUUGAACACCUCACCCUUCUGCUGCUGAUUUUACCUAAGUAAUUAUAUCGAUACGUAAUCAAAUAAAAUACAAUGCAACAAUUUGUU